UAUUGCACUGAUCAACUGUUUGUGGAGGUAGUGCGCCAAGAAAUAUAGACUGUUUCAACAGAAUUGCAUUGCUAGGCAACAGCUUGGGUCCAUGUUUACUUCCUGUGCAACAGCAAAUAAACUGGGACACAACUGUGAAAUGGUCUAAAGCAAUGCACCAUCAAAAGGAGAAGAAGACCUCUGCUAGCUAAUAAACAAAUGGGCAAGAAUGGUAACGAAAUAAGGAAGCAAGAAAGAGCACCUAGAGAAGGAAAUAGAGGAACAAAGGUUGGAAGGGCCCAGUGCUGUGACUCCUGUGUUUGUGCAGAAGGGAGGGGAUGUGCUUCUGAAAGUUGAUGCUGAUGUUCCUGAGGAUUUUGUUUAUGUUCAGUGGAACGUCAAUAGAACGACCAUUUUAGCAAUAUUUCGACCUGGUAGAGAACCAUCAGUCUUCCCUGUUUACACUGAAAUGGUUGAGUUUCCUGAGAAAAAACACUCUGUGAAAUUGAAGAAUCUACAAGAGGCAGACAGGGGAGUUUAUACUGCACGAGUGGCAUUGGAACAAGAAGUCCGAACACUAGCUCAACACAACGUCAUAGUUCAAGAUCCAGUGUCUCCAGUUGAACUGACAGUGAUCUCAGUGGACUCCAGAAGCUCAGAGUGUGACCUCACUGUGACCUGCAGAACACAGGACUCUCACAUUAACAGCACUUUGAGAUGUGACAACCAAACCUGCAGUCAGGAGGG